UACGGAGGGUGCGAGCGUUGUCCGGAAUCAUUGGGCGUAAAGGGCGCGUAGGUGGCCCGGUCAGUUCGUGGUGAAAGCGCGGGGCUCAACCCUGCGUCGGCCAUGAAUACUGCCGCGGCUGGAGCACUGUAGAGGCAGGCGGAAUUCCUGGUGUAGCGGUGAAAUGCGUAGAUAUCAGGAGGAACACCAGCGGUGUAGACGGCUUUCUGGACCAUUGCUGACGCUGGAGACACGAAAGCGUGGGUAGCAAACAGG
rnacentral:rRNA from 1 species